GAUGAACGCUGGCGGCGUGCUUAACACAUGCAAGUCGAACGGAAAGGCUCCUGCUUGCAGGGGUACUCGAGUGGCGAACGGGUGAGUAACACGUGGGUGAUCUGCCCUGCACUUCGGGAUAAGCCUGGGAAACUGGGUCUAAUACCGGAUAGGACGAUGGUUUGGAUGCCAUUGUGGAAAGUUUUUCGGUGUGGGAUGAGCUCGCGGCCUAUCAGCUUGUUGGUGGGGUAAUGGCCUACCAAGGCGUCGACGGGUAGCCGGCCUGAGAGGGUGUACGGCCACAUUGGGACUGAGAGACGGCCCAGACUCCGACGGGAGGCAGCAGUGGGGAAUAUUGCACAAUGGGCGCAAGCCUGAUGCAGCGACGCCGCGUGGGGGAUGACGGCCUUCGGGUUGUAAACUCCUUUCGCUAGGGACGAAGCGUUUUGUGACGGUACCUGGAGAAGAAGCACCGGCUAACUACGUG
rnacentral:rRNA from 1 species